rnacentral:lncRNA from 1 species
UAGUGGUGACGGUCUUUAAAAACAAAUUCAGUGGUACAGGGGCUUCUACCUAGAUUAGGGUUAUGUUACAUAUACAAAAUCCUCUUGCUGUGCUUGCAUGCUCUUUUACUAGUCAUGAAUUGAAGCAGGUGUGGUACCACCGAUUAGAGAGCACAAAUAGGGGUGGUGGAAUCCCACCCUUCUCGAAUCUAGGUGUAGGGAAUGUGAAUGCAUCUGUGAGUUUCAAUUGCCGAGAUGGCAUGAUAAUACUACAGGCUGUACAAGGGAUGUACCAAUUUCUUUAUUCAUUAUGAGGGUAAAAUAUCACUCUUCAAUGUUUAUUUUGAAAGGAAUGUCCCAUUUACAGGAGUUUAAUUUGUGCACUGCCAUAAAUCUUUGUUAACUCUAGGGUAUACACAGUAUCUUUUACACACACAUUUUUAAAUAGGGACAAGCAUACCAUUUCUACUAGCGCUUUAUUUUAACAAAUAGUACCCUUCAAAUGAUACAAGCUCCAUGUUUACGAGCUAAAUCUGCUUGUAAAACUUGAAUGUACAGUGUACUGCAAUUUUCUAUUCUCUUAUGACAAAUUGAUUGUUGCAGCCUAUUUAUCCAUUAAAAUUGGGAAAAGAGGUAUCUCAAUUCAAACUGAUAAAGAUAAAAAUGGACAAUAAUGACUCGCAAUAGCAAUCAGAUAACGCUGCAUCUAAGAAAUACAGCAUGUUUAUAUUGAAUAUUGAAGUGUAGAGUUUAGAUCGACAGAAUUCUCAAAUGCGAAAAAAGCAUGCUUCUAAUAUGGUACAUGUAUUAUAUAUAUUUUGUUUAAUCAAUGAAGCUGCUUGCAUUUUUAAUGAAGUAAUCUUUAGCUCAUUUUUUUUUCUCUUAAAAAACUUGCCAUGUAGAACAAAAAAUUUUGUGUUUGCAAUUAACUCAUAUUUGCUAGCCAUAGUUUGUAAGAUAAAAGAAAUAUUCUGUAUGCUAUGUGUACAAUAAGUGAUCUUGGUUGAAAGUUGAAAGGACUGAAUACAAAUGUAUAUGAAGAGAAUUAAACAAUGACUAAAUGUAAACUACUGUGGCUCUAUUUCUCUUGCUCUGAUAUUAUGAAAUACUUCAGUCACUAAAUAUCUUAUGGGAGGCUAUUUUGUUUAAAAACAACAAAUUUAUGAUAAUCUUAAAAUUUCUAUCAAACUGUAUUUCAACAAAAGUGAGAAUUUCACUUGAAAAUGUUUAAGUAAUGUUUUUAAUGUUUAAUUAAAGUGGUCUUCAUUUAUGGUAAAAGUUGAAAUGAAUUUUAGUUCAAUCAACAAAACCCAUGACAGUGAAUGUUCAAGACUUCAAAGAAAUGUUAUUUGGUAGAAAAGCUUGAAUAUAUAAAGAGAGCGAAUAUAUAUCAAGAUAGUAGUCUUGACUGCAUGUCAUUUGGUAAACCAUGUCCCAUUGGUAGACUUUGCUCAUUUGCUGCAAAUGCAAAUGAAUCAUGUUACUUUUCUUCAUAUAAUAAAUAUAAUUAACAUGAACACAACUUACACAAAAUAACAUCUCAAUAGAUUCUUUAUAUAAUCAUUUAUUUUAAAACAUAAUAUUUACAAUCACCACCAUGUCAGUACAGAUAAGCUCAAGAAAAGAAAAACUUAUAUAAUGAAUUAAUUUUCUUAGAAAUUCAUACCAUGAAAAAUUAGCAAAAUUUCAUUCAUCCGACUAUUCUCUGGAGAAGCAGAUAAAUUGAAUGGAACUAGAGUCCACAUACAAUGCAUAUCAUUCAUCACCUGUUUUUGAGUCUGUGUGUAUUUUUACAUGCAAUUUCUCAAAUAUUUAAAUAAUCUCAAUUUCAAAGAUGGUGGUAUGACCUUCAUAAAUUUGCGAUCGAACGUUUAUAAAGGUUUAACUUAACUGCAAUAACUAAUAUGCUCUGUUCUGGAGUAGAUCAAGCAGUAACAUGAAUAGUCAUCAGAUAUGUUUCCUAACAAGCUCGGGUUUUCGGAGGAAAAAAAAAGAUGUCUGUUCUAGCGUUCACCUUACCAUACUCUCUUUUGAAAUGCACUCUAAAUUGCUAAUACAUCAUCUACCAAACAAGCAUUCUCUUCUCAUAUAAUCCAUUUUUUUCUUUUUCACCUUUUUAUUGCAUUUUUUGGUACAUUGGAAGUUGUGGGCUACAUACAUAUCAAGGCCUCAUUCAUGUCUCAAAACUUGAACAUCAAAAUAGCACAUUAAAGUAAAUAAGUAUGCUGUAUUGAGGGAAUUUUAUUUCCUUGCAUCCGUCUAUAUAUCUAUACUUCUUCUCUUCUCUUCUCACAGUUAAACUGAUAAAUAAUCAGCUGACAAAUUCAACCAGCUUCUUUAGCUAGGUCACAGUUCACUCUUCUCUUUUUUUCUUCAUUAAACAAAAAAACCUAACUACCGCUAUAUCAACAGCAAAAAGGGUCUCUCUGAUCCCCAUUCUUUCAUUGUAAUAUCAUUAUUUAUAAACUAAUUCCUUGUUCCUCCACCAGAUAUAUAAUAAUAAUAAUAUUGGGUUCUUGUAUAGCGCACAUAUCUGUGGGACUUAACACUCCUGGCGCUUCUGACCAUUACCCUGGCUUCAGCAUGGCUGCCAUUACGGCGCUCUAGCAUUUCAAGAAAUUAAUUCAUGUCGGGUACCCAUUUACAUCACUUGGGUUAAGUGUCGCAAAUGUAGAUCAAUGUCUUGCCAAAGGACAUUCGUACCGCGGCGGGACUCGACCACGACACCUCUACACACCUCUAUAACAUGCCACCUUCUUUCCACAUCAUAUGUUACACAUUAUCUUAUUAAACAUGAACAAAGAAACAAAGGUAUUAAAAGACAUUACUGAUUUUGAUAAAGCAAGUCAAAGUCAUGGACAAAUGACUAAUUGAAUACACAAAUAAUUAUAAGGAAGGUAGGAUCAAACUAACAAUAUAGAUAGAUGCCCAUGUAAUAAAGUAGUACGCUUAAAAGCUUUUAUAUCUUAAAACAAGAAAGGAGCUUUUACUCAUUAAAAAAAAAUCUCUCAUACUUUCUUUUAAGUAUUCUAAUAUGAACAUAACAUUUGUAGCUUAGUGAGUCACAUGGUGUAGUGGACAUAAUUCUAAUAGCAUUCACCUCUGCAUGCAUUUGCAAACCGUCUAAAAGAAUAGUACCAAUUCUCAAGGAAUAUGGUUUGCUUUCAAGCAGAAAUAUUGUAUUUUCUUCUUUAAAAACAUAAAAAGCUUCCCAUCUCUUUUUGCAUGCAGUAUCUCUAUAUAAAAAUACAGUAGAAAUACAUAUGUCAUCUUGUUGAGAAAUACAUGAUUCAUGACAAUUUGAUUUUCAGCUUUAGCUGUUAUCUUCUCUACAUCAAACAAUGCAAUAAUUAUAUGGUAAUAGUACAGGUCAAAUGAAAAAUAAGCCUUUGUUGCCAUAUAACAAUUCUAUGGCCCGAAUUCACAAAGGAGGUUUGUCGACAAACCGAGGUUUAUGUACGUCAUAUGACGCGUUUUGACGCGUUUUUUACAAACCUGGUUUGUAAAAAACAAAAGGAGGUUUGUCGACAAACCGAGGUUGGCGACAAACCUCCUUUGUGAAUUCGGGCCUAUAUGUAAUUCAAGAUACAUUAGGAUAAAUUUAUAGAAAUCAAAACAACAAAUCUUUUCUUGUUUUUCUUUGUAUACCACCUAAGAAAUUAACAUACCGGGUACCAGCUUAUAUUUUUCAUUUUUAUCAUAAUGAUAAAAACUAUUUUAUCAAAAAAACUUCUUUAGUUAAUUUGAGAAAUAAUCUAAGAGACAAAAAGUGCUACCUUAAAAA